ACAAAAAUAUAAAUAUUCUGUAUAAUUUUACAAAUUGUUAAGCCCAGAUGCUGAGGUUCAAAUAGCAAUGGACUAGUGCAUCUGAACUUCUAGGGACAACAAAGAACCAACACAACAGCAUAAACAAGUGCAUCUUGUGUCUGCCUAAGAACACUAAUAGACCACAGUAUAACCACUAAAGAAUUCUGUAAAUAUCACUAAACAUGGACCUUUCACUUUCUAAUCAGUAGCAGGAAUGAUACACAAUGCCCCUUAUGAUAACUCAGCAAAAGGAAACAGGUUCUAGGCACACAAAAUAUGAUAGUUUUCCUCUUUUGUUAACAACCUGGACAGUGCUAGUACAGAGAAGAAAAAAUCAGUUUUGCUGCAGGCCAAAUUUCAGACAGAAUAAUAAAGACUGAACUGAACCGAGCUCCUGCAUGAGCAUCUGGAUAAGUCUAAAGGGAAUAAAUGGAUGGGGAAUGUGCUCGCGUUGAUUAAGUCCCUGCCCUUUGUACACACAUCGCUACUACCCAUUGGAUGGUUUAGUGAGGUCCUCGGAUCGGCCCUGCCAGAGUUGGUCACGGCCCUGGCGGAGCGCCGAGAAGACGAUCAAAAUUUCAAACUAUCUAGAGGAAGUAAAACUCUUAACAAAGUUUCUGAAGGUGGGAUCAUUACCGGUACAGCCUGCUCGACCCCGGUCGACCAAGGCAGCCCGACCAACCUCCGGACGCUUAGGGUCUCGCGCUGCCUCCCCGACGGCAAACACGCCGCCGGGCCUGUGCAUCUCCCGAGGCAGGGGGCACGCGAGUGAGCGAGAGAGAGGUGAGCCGUGCGUAAAGGCACGCGUUGCGCCAACCUCCGCUGCUCAAGUAACAAGCCAGUUUUGACAAUAUAAGAAGUAGAAAGUAAAGAAAUUUGCAUUCAAAUGUAUCGAGUAAAAGUAAAAAGUCGUCAGGAAAAUAAAUACUCAAGUAAAGUACAGAUAUGUGAAAAAUCUACUUAAGUACAGUAACGAAGUAUUUGUACUUCGUUACUUCCCACCUCUGCAAGCUAGUCUAUUAGCGAUGGCUGCUCUCUUUUGCUCUUUGUGUCAGAUGUUUGGUUUUUACUCUGCCUCCUUUUAAAGGUUCACAGUAUAGCCUAGGGUUUACAUUGCAAAAAACUGAAUGCCCUUCCCAAGCGUACAGAGAACUCCCUGCAUCAAAAUGUCGAUGGCCACAUUCUCUCAAGUGAUGAGGUAUCUUUAGACUGAUAUAUUUAGAAUGUUAGUCUGUAAACUGCCCAGCUAGCAAAGUUCUAUCGGCCCACAUGUGGCCUAAAUCAUGCGUGGUGAAAUGCAUAGUCUCGUCCAGCCGAGUCGGCCGAGUGCAGACUGAUAUUUCUGGCAUAAGUCCGGCUGGCACAUGCACACACAGACAUCGAAGGGGGCUUGGGCCCCUGCCCUUUUUCUUCCUCGAUAGAAAGUGCCCAUUUAAAAAAAAAAUAAAUGAAUAUUAUAUUCCUGUUUGUGCACUGCCUCCCUGUUAAACAAAUAUAUUGAUUGAAUAAAAAAUUGAAAUAUCAGGUCGGGAGAUUAGACGUCGAAUUUCAAUGCCCGCUCUACCCACCUUCCCUCCACAUCUCCUGCACAGUGGUGAGCACACAGUCAUCGGCAGUCACGUAAGACAGGCAGGCAGCACCUCCCACCUCUCAGCUCCUGUCCCAGUUGGGGUGGUUUUUCUUUGCUUGUGUGGAGGUGAGUGGUGAUGAACAAAGGACUAAGCUACCAGUGCCUCAGUUUACAGAUAAUUAGCCAAAAGACCAAAACAAAUAUAGCUAACUUGUGUCUUGCUAAUGUACACACAUGAGCUACUAACUAAUGUAAUGAGUUAGGGCAUAAGGGCUAAUGUACUGUACUUAAGGGGAGACACUACAGGUGAAUACAGUAAAAUUUGUAUCUAAUGUCAUCACAAUCGCCACCUUGAUAUGCAAAUUUGGCAUUAAUUAAUUAAAAUGCGCAAAUUUCUAUACAUUAGCCAUGGCACUGCAGGUGAAUAGGAUAAAAAACCGCCAAGGUUGAAAUUGGUCAGAUUUGCCAGUCACCGAACUAAAGAGGACAUAAUAAAGACGGCCUGGCAAAAGCAGGGUUUUGUUUUCCAGGAGAAAAGACUAAACUUAGACUGUGAUUUUGCCCCAGACAUUCUCAAAAAAUGCAAAGAAUAUGCAGAGGCAAACAGGGUUCUGAGGGAGAAAAAGAUACAAUUUCAGACACCUUUUCCUGCCAAACAGUGUAUUUUAUCAGGAUGAGACCCGUAUCUACCUCGCAGCAGAGGAGGCAACUAAAGAUAUGGUAACAAGAGGUUUACCUCUAAAUUUGUUCAUGUCACGGCUCAGGCCGUUCCUCUAGUGUUUACCCUUUUCUUUCUGCUCCCCUCCUAUUCACCCUCUCCCCUGUGUGUGUGUGUGUGUGUGUGUGUGAGUGUGUGUGAGUGCGGCAGUCCUGGCACAUGGCGCAAGUCCCACACCUGGUCGCAAUCACCUCAUCAGCUGCCCUACAAGAACCCAGGUCUUCUCUCCACUCAUCGCCAGAUGGUUCCGUCACUUCAGUGGAUCGCCAGAGCCACAAGCCUGCCUUAUUUUCAGCUCACUGGAUCACAGGCUCAGUCUCAGCCGGCACCCAGCUUGUUACCUGCCGGCCUCGGCGCUUCAUUAAAGAGAUUCUUUGUUCACUCACAAACCCAUUCCUAACCCUGGGCGGAGAGGAUCAAGGUCAUAGCUUGGGGCUCAUCUCCCCGGAGGAAAGAGUCUGAUAAAGUCGGGCCACGUUCAGGAUACAAGGAGAAGCUGGAUGUUUUGAGGAGACUCUAAACGACUUUGCCCGACCAGCAGAAGUAAAAUCAUGCUUUUCUGUGUGCAUUACCCGGGCUAGCUCUUGACUAUGAAAGAUGUUGGGACUGAAUUUCCCGAUGGUGAGUUCAAGUGUUUGUGUACUAUGUUCUUUGAAACAAUCAAACUUCUUUCACAUGUAAGAGCGUAUGAGCUGUCUGCUAUCUCUCCUUCAAUUCGGACUCCUAGCUAAGCGUUUUAGAAACUGUUUUUAACAUGUGAAAAUUAGGCUGUAACUAUCAUGUUUUGCCGUUCAUAUCUUCCCAUGGAGGGCUCUGUAGUGGCAGAGGAAUGUUAUCCCUCAGAGCCAUCGUGACAUCACAGCCCAUGUAGGGUCAUAAAUAGGACCCUAGUUCAUAGACUACUUUUUAUGUUUUUCUUCUCAAUAUUAUGUUCCGAGUUCUGAAUCCGUUUGGUUUUCUUUAUGUGUCUGUUUGGCGGGAUGGGAAGGGUCAGCUUAGAGACAGGGCAGAAGGCAUCAACAAAAAAAAAUGACAUAAGGUCUAAUUAAGGUGGUAUCACACGAUGUGAAUGUCAUUCUCAACCCCAUUUAGAGGAGUAAAGUCUUGAGCAAAAUGAAAAGAAAGAAGGAUUGGGGAUGUUUUUCUCCAGGAGACUCACCUCUCAGAACCAGCCCAUGUGAAACCUAAAACAAAGUUUUCUCAGCCUCAUAUAAAUCUGGACCUAGAAGAGGGCUAACAAUUAUGAUAGCAGGAAGGUACUAUUUAGAAGUUGUACAGUUUGAAACCAAAGAUAGGGAGGGGAGAUACAUUAUGGUGGAGGGGAUAGAAGACACAUUUCUGAAUGUCUAUGUGCCACCUGUAGCAAAUUGGUCCAAAGUUGGAUUCUUCACAGGGGGUCAACUCACAAAGCAACUCUAUAGAAAAAUAAACCGUAUAAUCCAAAACUCAGGUAUAAUUGAUGUGUGGAGAGAAUUUCACCCCUCAUUAAAAGACGUUCCUUUUUUCUGCUCCGCA